rnacentral:rRNA from 1 species
GAAGAGUUUGAUCAUGGCUCAGAUUGAACGCUGGCGGCAGGCUUAACACAUGCAAGUCGAACGGUAGCACAUAGGAGUUUGCUCCUUGGGUGACGAGUGGCGGACGGGUGAGUAAUGCUUGGGAAUCUGGCUUAUGGAGGGGGAUAACUACUGGAAACGGUAGCUAAUACCGCGUAAUGUCUUAGGACUAAAGGGUGGGACCAUUUGGCCACCUGCCAUAAGAUGAGCCCAAGUGGGAUUAGGUAGUUGGUGAGGUAAAGGCUCACCAAGCCCGCGAUCUCUAGCUGGUCUGAGAGGAUGACCAGCCACACUGGAACUGAGACACGGUCCAGACUCCUACGGGAGGCAGCAGUGGGGAAUAUUGCACAAUGGGGGGAACCCUGAUGCAGCCAUGCCGCGUGAAUGAAGAAGGCCUUCGGGUUGUAAAGUUCUUUCGGUGACGAGGAAGGCGAUUGUUUUAAUAGAACAGUCGAU